AUUGAACGCUGGCGGCAGGCCUAACACAUGCAAGUCGAGCGGAUGAAGGGAGCUUGCUCCUGGAUUCAGCGGCGGACGGGUGAGUAAUGCCUAGGAAUCUGCCUGGUAGUGGGGGAUAACGUCCGGAAACGGGCGCUAAUACCGCAUACGUCCUGAGGGAGAAAGUGGGGGAUCUUCGGACCUCACGCUAUCAGAUGAGCCUAGGUCGGAUUUGCUAGUUGGUGGGGUAAAGGCCUACCAAGGCGACGAUCCGUAACUGGCCUGAGAGGAUGAUCAGUCACACUGGAACUGAGACACGGUCCAGACUCCUACGGGAGGCAGCAGUGGGGAAUAUUGGACAAUGGGCGAAAGCCUGAACCAGCCAUGCCGCGUGUGUGAAGAAGGGCUUCGGAGGGUAAGCACUUUAAGUUGGGAGGAAGGGCAGUAAGUUAAUACCUUGCUGUUUUGACGUUACCAACAGAAUAAGCACCGGCUAACUUCGUG
rnacentral:rRNA from 1 species